rnacentral:sRNA from 1 species
AGGGCCACGGGAUCGACCGCCCGCGUGGUGAGCAGGUAGUCCCGCAUCACGAUGGCGUGCCGUCCCUC